CUCCCAACCUCUAGAUUGUCUGCCACCUUUUUUCACCACCUGUUGUUAAUAUUACCCCCCCUGCAAUUGUUAAGCUUGUUUCUUCCUUCCCACAGUUACCAGCCUAGUUCAGGCACCUGUGAUCUCAAAACAGAAUUGUUCCAACAGGCUCCUGGAAGUCCUAAACAAUUCUUGGUGGACUGAUUUUUUUACCAAUUGAAGGCAAGACCCUCUACCAGCAAAAAGUUUACAACUCACUUGAUUGCAGUGGUCUGGAGUCGAACCUGCAAUAUCUCUGAGCUUUCCUAUUGUGAUUGCAUCAUGGAAAAUCAAUUGGCAAAGUCAACUGAAGAACGAACAUUUCAGUACCAGGAUUCUCUUCCAUCACUGCCUGUUCCUUCCCUUGAAGAAUCAUUAAAAAAAUACCUUGAAUCAGUAAAGCCGUUUGCAAAUGAAGAAGAAUAUAAGAAAACUGAAGAAAUUGUCCAAAAAUUUCAAAAUGGUAUUGGAGAAAAAUUGCACCAAAAAUUACUUGAAAGGGCAAAAGGAAAAAGAAAUUGGCUGGAAGAGUGGUGGCUGAAUGUUGCCUACCUGGAUGUCCGUAUACCAUCACAACUGAAUGUCAACUUUGGGGGUCCUGCGUCCCAUUUUGAACAUUACUGGCCUCCAAAGGAAGGCACGCAAUUGGAAAGAGGAAGUAUAAGUCUUUGGCAUAACUUGAACUACUGGCAGCUGUUAAGAAAAGAAAAAGUGCCUGUUGAUAAAGUUGGGAAUACUCCUCUAGAUAUGAGUCAAUUCCGCAUGCUGUUUUCUACCUGCAAGGUUCCAGGAAUUUCUAGAGAUUCAAUUAUGAGUUAUUUUAAGACUGAGAGAGAAGGGUAUUCCCCAACUCACAUUGCAGUGCUGUGUCGAGGCCGAAUUUUUGUCUUUGAUGUAAUGCACGAAGGAUGUUUGAUCACCCCACCAGAGAUUCUCAGGCAAUUGACGUACAUCCACAAAAAGUGCCAUAGCGAACCUGAUGGGCCUGGGAUAGCAGCAUUAACUAGCGAGGAGAGAACUCGAUGGGCUAAGGCACGAGACUAUUUGAUUAGUCUUGAUCCAGAGAACUUGACUAUGUUGGAAAAAAUUCAGAACAGUUUACUGGUGUAUUCCAUAGAGGAUAGCAGUCCACAUGUAACACCAGAAGAUUAUUCGCAGGCAAUAGCAAUGGUCCUCACUGGAGACCCAACAGUACGCUGGGGUGACAAAUCCUAUAACUUGAUUUCCUUUUCUAAUGGAGUAUUUGGCUGUAAUUGUGAUCAUGCUCCUUUUGAUGCCAUGGUUAUGGUAAGCAUCAGCUAUUACGUUGAUGAGAAGAUUCUGGAGAAUGAAGGGAGAUGGAAGGGUUCAGAAAAAGUACGGGAUAUACCACUUCCAGAGGAGCUUGUUUUCACUGUGGAUGAGAAAGUAUUAAGUGACAUCGACCAAGCUAAAGCCCAGCAUCUCAAGCAGGCAUCUGAUCUUCAGAUUGUGGCAUAUUCCUUUACACCUUUUGGCAAAAAGCUAACCAAGAAGAAGAUGCUUCACCCUGAUACAUUUAUUCAGCUUGCACUUCAGCUGGCCUAUUACAGACUUCACGGACGCCCUGGUUGCUGCUACGAAACAGCUAUGACAAGGUUUUUUUAUCAUGGCCGUACAGAGACUGUGCGAUCAUGUACAGCAGAAGCAGUCAGGUGGUGCCAGUCCAUGCAGGAUCCUUCUACCAGUCUUCUUGAGCGGCAGCAAAAGAUGUUAGAAGCUUUUGCAAAACAUAAUAAAAUGAUGAAAGAUUGUUCAACUGGAAAAGGAUUUGACCGCCAUCUUUUAGGUCUUUUACUCAUAGCAAGAGAGAACGGCCUCCCUAUUCCAGAACUCUUUACGGAUCCACUUUUCUCCAGAAGCGGAGGAGGUGGAAACUUUGUUCUCUCAACAAGUCUGAUUGGCUAUUUAAGAGUCCAGGGCGUGGUGGUUCCCAUGGUACACAAUGGCUACGGAUUUUUCUACCACAUCAGAGACGACAGAUAGAAGAACUUGGUUUGAAUACUUGACUGACUUAAACAACUUGUCACAGCAAUGAACUGAUAUUGCUACACUGCUGGUGUGUGCCGUGCUCCCGGAUUUUGCCGUUCUGAAACACCACUAUUAAAUCUGCAUUCUGGAUGGUGGACAGGCGGUGAGCGAUCACAAUGCAGGUGCGACCUUCUCUGGCUUUGUCCAGGGCUUCUUGGACAAUCUAGUGAUAAAUCAGAACAGAAGCCUUACCUUAAAAUUUUUAUAAAUGGAUUUUAGCAUUAAAAGAAAUUUAAAAAUUUUACCAUCCAAAAAUUGUUAUCUCUUUGAAUCUUUGCCUUUAUUCAUGUGCAUUUAUAUAAUUUGACAUUAUAUAAUAAUGGAUUCUCGCACUGUAAAUAAUCUUCACAAGUAGGUAAAAUUUCUAACUAGUCACAAUAUUUUUUACUUAACUAGUUCUCUUUUAUUAAGUAUUAUGUUUUCCAGUUUUUCCAUUUGUUAAUGUGCUAAAAACUAUUUCUGCAGCCUUUUCUUUUGAAUGCUUUACUUUUAGUGUGUUCCUAAAACGAAAUGAUCAUUUUAGAAAAAUUGGAAAAUACUGAAAGGAGUAAGAAUAUAUCCUACCUCAAAAUAACCACUGUCUGAAUUUAUAUUUACUUAUUUCUGUGCUUACAUAUUUUUUUUUUCAUAGUUAACG